UACGUAGGGUGCAAGCGUUAAUCGGAAUUACUGGGCGUAAAGCGUGCGCAGGCGGUUGUGCAAGACCGAUGUGAAAUCCCCGGGCUUAACCUGGGAAUGGCAUUGGUGACUGCACGGCUAGAGUGUGUCAGAGGGGGGUAGAAUUCCACGUGUAGCAGUGAAAUGCGUAGAGAUGUGGAGGAAUACCGAUGGCGAAGGCAGCCCCCUGGGAUAACACUGACGCUCA
rnacentral:rRNA from 1 species